rnacentral:misc_RNA from 1 species
GAUUUGAAUGCGGACUUGGGUAGCGAUGUUGGCUCUGAUUUUACAGAUGAGGAUGAUGAUGAUAAUGUUGUUGACACUGUCAAUGCAGAGGAUGCUUAUGUAACAAAGCGACUAAGAUAAGAUUGGUGAUAGAAGUUCUUGUUGAGCUUUUGUAGUUAUUAUUAAUCGUUAUUUGUAAUUAUUCAAAAAUUUUACGUCCCACUGACAUUGUUGGAUAGAGGAAUGAAUCUUUCUUGAUUGUAUUGGAGAC